rnacentral:tRNA from 1 species
GGUCCAAUAGUGUAGAGGUUAUCACAUGGGAUUCUGAUAGGAACAUUCCCAUGACCCAGGUUCGAGUCCUGGUUGGACCU